CACACACACACACACACAAAAAAAAAAAAAAAAAAAAAAAAAAAAAAAAAAAAAAAAAAUCUUCAUCUUCCUUUUCUUUACA
rnacentral:ribozyme from 12 species